CGGUGGAGAGCAUGCGCAUAGUCCCCUGCACCCACGGCCAAGAUGGACGCCGCUGAUCCGCCGAGCGCCUGUCGCCGGUCCAAACGUCGCGCCGCCACCAUCAAAUGUUUACUUAAUGUUUGAUAGAAUCAACAGCUACUGUCAGUGCUACUACAACAUUUAGCCCUCCAUCUGGCUGCCAAGAUGUCUCAGGGUGGGCUGAUUGAUUGAAUGCCUUCCCACACUCAGAACAAAUGAAAGGCUUCUCUCAGGUACAGAUUUGGGAUUGUGGCCAGGCCAUUGAAAACUGGAUUGCUCCCAGUUCAAACCAGUGUUACCCAAACAGAUCCCUGAAGGCAGUAUGGACACAGAGACUUCACCUGAUGAAGGAGCAGAUCUCUGAAAGUAUGUAAUUUCAAAUAAACCUGUUGGAAUA